AGUGAACGCUGGCGGUAGGCCUAACACAUGCAAGUCGAACGGCAGCACAGUAAGAGCUUGCUCUUACGGGUGGCGAGUGGCGGACGGGUGAGGAAUACAUCGGAAUCUACUUUUUCGUGGGGGAUAACGUAGGGAAACUUACGCUAAUACCGCAUACGACCUACGGGUGAAAGCAGGGGAUCUUCGGACCUUGCGCGAUUGAAUGAGCCGAUGUCGGAUUAGCUAGUUGGCGGGGUAAAGGCCCACCAAGCCGACGAUCCGUACCUGGUCUGAGAGGAGGAUCACCCACACUGGAACUGAGACACGGUCCAGACUCCUACGGGAGGCAGAAGUGGGGAAUAUUGGACAAUGGGCGCAAGCCUGAUCCAGCCAUACCGCGUGGGUGAAGAAGGCCUUCGGGUUGUAAAGCCCUUUUGUUGGGAAAGAAAAGCAGCAGGUUAAUACCCCGCUGUUCUGACGGUACCCAAAGAAUAAGCACCGGCUAACUUCGUG
rnacentral:rRNA from 1 species